UAGGGAAUCUUCCACAAUGGGCGAAAGCCUGAUGGAGCAACACCGCGUGAGUGAAGAAGGGUUUCGGCUCGUAAAGCUCUGUUGUUAAAGAAGAACACGUAUGAGAGUAACUGUUCAUACGUUGACGGUAUUUAACCAGAAAGUCACGGCUAACUACGUGCCA
rnacentral:rRNA from 1 species